rnacentral:rRNA from 1 species
CUUGGUCAUUUAGAGGAAGUAAAAGUCGUAACAAGGUCUCCGUAGGUGAACCUGCGGAGGGAUCAUUACAGAGAAACUCGCCCGCAAGGGUGACUCUCCAACCCUAUGUUAAUUAUACCUUUGUUGCUUUGGCGAGCCGCUUCGGCCACCGGCUUCACGCUGGUGAGCGCUCGCCAGAGGAUCCUAAACUCUGUUUAUUAGUGUCGUCUGAGUACUAUAUAAUAGUUAAAACUUUCAAUAACGGAUCUCUUGGUUCUGGCAUCGAUGAAGAACGCAGCGAAAUGCGAUAAGUAAUGUGAAUUGCAGAAUUCAGUGAAUCAUCGAAUCUUUGAACGCACAUUGCGCCCCUUGGUAUUCCGAGGGGCAUGCCUGUUCGAGCGUCAUUAUAACCACUCAAGCCUGGCUUGGUAUUGGGGUUUUCGCGUGUUCGCGGCCCUUAAAAUCAGUGGCGGUGCCGUCUGGCUCUAAGCGUAGUAAUUUCUCUCGCUAUAGGGUUCCGGUGGUUACUUGCCAAAACCCCCCCAUUUUUUCUAGGUUGACCUCGGAUCAGGUAGGGAUACCCGCUGAACUUAAGCAUAUCAAUAAGCGGAGGA